rnacentral:rRNA from 1 species
AACGAACGCUGGCGGCAUGCCUAACACAUGCAAGUCGAACGAUGCUUUCGGGCAUAGUGGCGCACGGGUGCGUAACGCGUGGGAAUCUGCCCUUAGGUUCGGAAUAACAGUUAGAAAUGACUGCUAAUACCGGAUGAUGUCGAUAAGACCAAAGAUUUAUCGCCUGAGGAUGAGCCCGCGUAGGAUUAGCUAGUUGGUGUGGUAAGAGCGCACCAAGGCGGCGAUCCUUAGCUGGUCUGAGAGGAUGAUCAGCCACACUGGGACUGAGACACGGCCCAGACUCCUACAGGAGGCAGCAGUGGGGAAUAUUGGACAAUGGGCGCAAGCCUGAUCCAGCAAUGCCGCGUGAGUGAUGAAGGCCUUAGGGUUGUAAAGCUCUUUUACCCGUGAUGAUAAUGACAGUAGCGGGAGAAUAAGCCCCGGCUAACUCCGUGCCAGCCGCCGCCGUAA